UUCGGUGGGCACGCGGGUAGCUACAGUCGUGCCCCAGGGUUUCUAAAUAAAACUUAUUUACACACCAGUUUCCUUUUAUUUUUGAACACCGUGUAUCUAUACCACAGAAUAUAGAAUUAUUAUUUAGUUGGUAUCCCUGGUGUUGUCGAUACGGUAGUAUUCUGCUAUGCCGUUGCCUCGGGUUGCGGUAAAAGGGCAAUGGCGGCGAUCUCAGGUGUCGAGAUGUCGGAGCUGAUCGCCUCGGCUCAGCGGUACUCUAAUUUGGCGGUAGCUGUAAGUUUAUCGAUUAGCGGGUUUUUAUCCGGGAGUUGGUAAGCUAUCGAUGAAUCGGGGUGCGAAUGAUUGGUGCCGCCGGGUUCUAUUUCAGGUGAAUGACACCAGCACUUCCGAAUACUCGGCCCGUCAGUGCGGUAUGGUACUUAUGCUAGAGGUGGUACACAGGAUGUGACACGGCCACUACCCCCGUACACCACGCUCGAGGUUGAAGCAGAAUCAACGGUCGCAAACUGGAGGAAUGCAGGUCGAAGGCCCCACAGUUCCCAGUUCCCGUACUUUGACUCGCCUCGUAUCUAAGGGACUGGUGAUAGUAUGGUAACGAAAAGCAAGAUGUGACACGGCCACUACCUCCGCUUAACGUUCACAACCUUACGACUAAAUCAAGCAAGCGGGAGCUGGCUACAUGCGGGUCACAGGCCCCACAGGUAUCGAACUUCCGGGUGUUUGAGGGUUCGUCUUUCAAGGACUGGAUGAUUUCGAAUGAAUGGCGAGGUUAAGGGUGCAGGGACAGUUUCGGGUCUGGAUUCAGGUUUUCGGUCAUCAAAUGACAGGAUAGAAGUGUCUUCUAAACUCAAGGGAUCCUCCUUUUAUACAGCCAUGAUUAGGCCUACGACUAGGAAGUGGAAAUGACACUUGAUUAUGUUAUCAUUAAUGAUUAGUUAGCGACAUCUAUUGAUGUCAAUGUAGUGCAUUUGUAAAGGAGCGUUUACACGCUCCCAUAAAUAAAGGCACGGGUACAUUGUUACCUUA